rnacentral:lncRNA from 1 species
UAGAAGGGAAAGUUGCUCACUACCACGCUACGGUGCUAGGGAACCAACUUUGGAAGCAACGUUGCGAGCGGAGAUUUUACCGGAUUUACUCGCGGUACUGUAAUCGCACGUUAAAGCUAACGUGAAGGUAAGGGCUCCUUCCAAACUUCUAGUUUGCAUUUAGGGACUUAUCUCUGAUGUUGUGGAAAAGAAUUUUGUUAGGGUUGAAGUGUUGAUUUGGGGGAAAAUGAAUCUAAGGCUUUAUGGGUAAAAUCUUAGAGUUAGGUUUUGGUUAUAUUGAUGAAUGUUUCGUGGAAAAUGAAUUUAAAC